ACGCUCGACACCUACGGGAGCAGCAGUGAGGAAUAUUGGUCAAUGGGCGCUAGCCUGAACCAGCCAAGUAGCGUGAAGGAUGAAGGCUCUAUGGGUCGUAAACUUCUUUUAUAUAAGAAUAAAGUGCAGUAUGUAUACUGUUUUGUAUGUAUUAUAUGAAUAAGGAUCGGCUAACUCCGUGCCAGCAGCCGUGGUAAUCUGAGCGGGCUGGCAAGGC
rnacentral:rRNA from 1 species